UUCUCCCUCCCACUGGCCCUCAGGGCUCCUGCACUAGUGUAGCAGCAGCCCAUCUUCAAGACUCCUGGUGUCUUUUGGGCUUUAGCUGCCUCCCUGCUCUGAAACCUCAGUAGCUCCCUAAGGCCUGCAGGAAGCAUCCUGGAGUGUUUAGCCUGGUUUAUGGGGUCAUGGGAUCCUCUGCGCUGUGACCCCAGGCUUCCUUUCCAUCCCUUAUUCCCUUCUGUUCACUCUUGGGCCCUCUCCCGUACUCGAAGCCAAGUGCCCUAGGGCCCAGCACAGGCCAGGACUGGGCACAGCUGACCCUGGUAGAGAUUAGGGAGGAACAGUUGCCUCUCUUUGCCCUGCUGUGAACACCACUGGCCUUUCCUUCAGAUAGCUUGUUCACUUCCCAACCCAUCCCUCACCCCCAGGGGAGAUCGUGGUGAAAUGGUUUGAGGCUGUUCAGACUGGCCUGCCCAUGUGCAUCCUGGGUGCUCUCUUUGGACCGAUCCAACUCAGUGCUCAGAGCCUGCAAGUGCUGGUCUCGGAGUUGAUCCCAUGGGCCGUUCAGAAUGGGCGCAGAGCCCCGUGUGUCCUCAACCUGUACUAUGAGCGGCGCUGGGAGCAGUCCCUGAGGGCUCUACGGGAGGAGCUGGGCAUUACGGCACCACCCGUGCAUAUCCAGGGCUUGGCCUGAGUUCCUGAGCCAGCGGGGCCUGGCCUACCUCCCCCAUCUACUGCUUCCCUUGGGGGCAGAGGGAUCCCUUGACUACCUUUGUUCCUCUUCUUUGAACACUGACCCUUGGACAACAUUUAUCAUAAUUUAUCAUAGCCACUGCUGAGUGGCCUUGAGGAUGAACCCCGCAGGGAGCAAGCAGUACAGUGGCACUCCCAGGGGGACCAGCAGCUGUCCAAGGAGAACUAUGCGUGAACAGUAUCAGUCGUCUGGGCUCAUGCUGGGAUGUCGCAGCACUCCUGUUGCGACUCCUUCCAACCAGCCAGGUUUGCUGGGGGCCAGGCUGGGUGUCCUCACGGGAGUGAGGGCUACACCCAAUUCCCAAAGCCUGAGAAGAGAGAAGUGGAGGGGGGAGGGGAGGCGAGUGUGUGAAUAAAGGCUCCCAUCAGGUC